GCCUGCCAGUGACCAUGUGUUCACGGCCGCGGUAUUCUGACCGCGCGAAGGUAGCGUAAUCACUUGUUUUUUAAAUAAAGACUAGUAUGAACGGCCGCACGAGGACCUAACUGUCUCCUUUGUCCAAUCAGUGAAACUGAUCUCCUCGUGCAGAAGCGAGGAUCUUAUCAUAAGACGAGAAGACCCUAUGGAGCUUUAAACUUUUAUUAAUUAUUUUCUUCACCCCUCUAAGGAGCCAACAACUAAUUUAAUUUUUUUUAUAAAAGUUUUGGGUUGGGGCGACCAUGGAGGAAAAAAAAUCCUCCCUGAUGACACCUAACUAAGAGCCACAGCUCCAAAUAUUAAGACACUUAACUCCUAUUGACCCAUUUUAUGAUCAACGAACCAAGUUACCCUAGGGAUAACAGCGCAAUCCAUUUCAAGAGUCCUUAUCGACAAAUGGGUUUACGACCUCGAUGUUGGAUCAGGGCAUCCAAGUGGUGCAACCGCUACUAAAGGUUCGUUUGUUCAACGAUUAAAGCCCUACGUGAUCU
rnacentral:rRNA from 1 species